AGCAUAACAACUAUACCUCAUUCUCAUACCCUUUGCAAAUUAGUUAUUUGCACAAAAUUUCAUUCAUAACAUUUACAUAAGCCAAACAUUAACCAAAAUAGCACAAGAGCUUAUACAUGCCAUAUAAUCUGAAUUUAACGUUUCAAAAACUACCGAGAUAAACUGAAUGGUGUGACUUGAGUGUCAAUCCAAUCGUCCAACCUUCUGAAAAUCUACAAUGACAUUACACAAUACAAGUAAGCUUAAUGAAGCUUAGUAAGUUCGACGAGAUAAACAAAAAUCUUACCGAACUAAUUAUAAUAAAUCAAAUAAUAAAAAUCAUCCAAGACAACUCACUGUCAUUCACAACUUUAAUUGAUAAAUACAUCCGUAUUCAAAUCAAUACAAAAAUAAAUAACAUGUCUUUCAAAUUCAUUAAAUAAAUCACCUUAUCGAGAUUUUUCCAAUCGAAGAAUGACUUACGGGUACGAUUGCAUUGUCAACAGAAGCUCAUAAGAGCUGGUCUUCCCGAACACGCCAACAUAAGCUCGAAAGCUGAAUAGAAGCUCGUAAGAGCUGAUCCACCCAAUCACGCCAAAUAGAAAUUAAAACACGAGAGUUCGCAACAAAUGUUGAACCCCGGUUUACUUGGGUAAAAUGUUGAUAUCUCCCUCCAAUACCAUCUCCACUCCAAACCCCCGUCAUACACAAAAUCAGAAAUGUACUCAAAUCCUACGUUCAAUUCAAACAAAAUAUCCAAUUCAAUAUUAUAAUUCAAACAAUAAUUCAUUUCCAAAAAUAGCAUAUAUGCAUAAUACAAAUCAUACAAAUGUUAAAUUUUAACCGUACGAACUUACCUAAACUGAAUUGUAGUAAUUCCAAAAGCUCAGGGACUAUUAUGCUAUUUUUUAUUUUCCAUAAGUAUCUACGGGAUCUUGAUCUAAAAUAUAAAAUUACUCAUUUAUUAGCACAUAUUUCAUUUCCAAUCCAUUUUACAAUUAAUACCCUUUUAUUUUUUGAAUUUAUGCAAUUACCCUAAACUUUUACAAUUUUUCAAUUUAAUCCCUUAGUUAGUUAAUCUAUCAAAUUAACUAAUUUUCUAAAAUAAAUAAUCUAUCCAAAUAUUCUAGGCCCUCAUACAUCCCCUAAUAAAUCUAAAAUUCACUGUCAAACCCUAAUAUUUUGACAUUUUCACAAUUUAAUCCUAAAAUCAAUAUUUAACAAAAAUCACUUUACAAAAUCAUCACACAACACAAUAAAAACUCCAAAUCCAUGCUAUUCAUAAAAAAAUCUAAUAUUUAUCAAUUGAAACUUUCAAAAAUUUUAACAGAAUCAGAAACGAAGGUACGAGUUAGCUGGACCUAGUUGCAACGAUCUCAAAAACAUAAAAAUUACAAGAAGCGAGUAAGAAUUGAACUCACAUGGAAGCUCCUAUGCUCAACCAAUUCUCCAAGCUAUUUCUAUGGUGUUUCGGCAGUGACAAAAGAAGAAAAUGAAGAGGAAAAGCUAUUUCUU
rnacentral:lncRNA from 1 species